UUUGGGUUUCAUUCGAAGAAGCGCAAGCCGAACAAGGAAGCAUUCGUUGGUGCCAUUUUGAUUUUGUCGUUUGCGCGUUGUCUCGAUCGUUUUGUGUGUUUGUGUGAGACUAACGUGUGUAUUGAUAUGGAACGAAAUAAAUUCCAGUUUGAUUACCACUUGAUUCUUGUAGCUUUUGGUGAAAGGACAAAAUAUGAAGAAGCGACAGAUGCCGAAAUAAUACAAAGUGUUACCCAUACGGAUAUGGUUUGAUGACUUCAGAUGGUGGACGGAAUAAAAAGAUUGCCAGUAGCCAACGACAAUAUCCGUUUCAA